rnacentral:rRNA from 1 species
AGGAUUAACGCUGGCGGCGUGCCUGACACAUGCAAGUCGAACGAGGCCGCAAGGCCGAGUGGCGGACGGGUGAGUAACACGUGACCAACCAACCUCGAAGUUGGGAAUAGCUCUGCGAAAGUAGGGGUAAUACCGAAUGUGGCCCAGGGCGGGCAUCCGCCUUGGUCUAAAGAUUCAUCGCUUCGAGACGGGGUCGCGGCCUAUUAGCUUGUUGGUGAGGUAACGGCUCACCAAGGCGAUGAUGGGUAGCUGGUCUGAGAGGACGACCAGCCACACUGGGACUGAGACACGGCCCAGACUCCUACGGGAGGCAGCAGUGAGGAAUCUUCCGCAAUGGGCGAAAGCCUGACGGAGCAACGCCGCGUGUGGGAUGAAAGACUCUAGGGUUGUAAACCACUGUCGGAGGGGACGAUCGUGACGGUACCCUCCAAGAAACGCCCCGGCUAACUACGUGCCAGCAGCCGC